rnacentral:rRNA from 1 species
GAUGAACGCUGGCGGCGUGCUUAACACAUGCAAGUCGAACGAAGCAUUUACGACAGAUUUCUUCGGAUUGAAGUUGUUUAUGACUGAGUGGCGGACGGGUGAGUAACGCGUGGGUAACCUGCCUUGUACUGGGGGAUAGCAGCUGGAAACGGCUGGUAAUACCGCAUAAGCGCACGGUGCUGCAUGGCACAGUGCGAAAAACUCCGGUGGUAAAAGAUGGACCCGCGUCUGAUUAGCUAGUUGGUGAGAUAACAGCCCACCAAGGCGACGAUCAAGAGCCGACCUGAGAGGGUGACCGGCCACAUUGGGACUGGGACACGGCCCAGACUCCUACGGGAGGCAGCAGUGGGGAAUAUUGCACAAUGGAGGAAACUCUGAUGCAGCGACGCCGCGUGAGUGAAGAAGUAAUUCGUUAUGUAAAGCUCUAUCAGCAGGGAAGAUAGUGACGGUACCUGACUAAGAAGCUCCGGCUAAAUACGUGCCAGCCGCCGCAGUAA